rnacentral:rRNA from 1 species
AUAGUUUGAUCCUGGCUCAGGAUGAACGCUAGCGGCAGGCCUAAUACAUGCAAGUCGAACGGUAACAUUGUGUGCUUGCACCAGAUGACGAGUGGCGCACGGGUGCGUAACGCGUAUGCAAUCUACCUUUUACUAGAGUAUACCCCAGAGAAAUUUGGAUUAAUCCUCUAUAAUGUCUUUAAGUUUCAUGACUUUUACAUUAAAGUUUUAACGGUAAAAGAUGAGCAUGCGUCCUAUUAGUUUGUAGGUGAGGUAACGGCUCACCUAGACUACGAUAGGUAGGGGCCCUGAGAGGAGGAUCCCCCACACUGGUACUGAGACACGGACCAGACUCCUACGGGAGG